ensembl:lncRNA ECI2-DT ECI2 divergent transcript
AGAUGCUCCCCGGCCUGGCUCCGAGUAACUGCGAGCUGGAGGCGCGGCUGCUCUCUCGGGCGGACCUCAGCUCUGCGAACCCUGUGGCUGCCGGAGCACUGAGCGCCCUGCCCGGAGUCCCGCGGAGCCUGGCGAGGAGGGGUCGCUGCAUCCCGAGGGCCAGCCCUGAGCCGGGAGAUGAAACAGCUGUCAUGGAAAUAUUUUUUAAAUCUCAUACUGGUCAAACGGUGUAAACUUUGCUGGAAGGAACCUUACUCAGAGGGCCAAUCACCUGCUUCUCUAGAGUUCUCAAGCUCUCCUGUGAGCACCAGGUUGAGCUGCAGAAAGCCAGAACCAGCUCAGAAACUGAGAAAUGGACAUGAAGAUGCCCAGGAAACAUCUCUACAGCAUCCCUAACUGGGGGUUGAUCCAUUCAUUUCCAGACACAGAGAACAGAGUCACAUUCUGCUGUUUCCAUAUGUACCAUUUUAGUAAGACUUCUUGGGGCACAAGGCAGGAAGUUGGGGACAAUAUAUUUGUCUGCACCAAGGCAGCCUGAGAAGAGAGAAGUGAAUACUCCUGGGGUUAUUCUAUAUUAUUCACUUAAUAUUCUAAGUGAGUCCUCUAGGGGUACCUGAGACAUGGAGUAUGAAAGUACACAUUCACAAAAGUACCAGCUUUAAAACUAGAUUAUCUCUACUAUUCAAAAACACCAAGGAAAGGCCACACAAUGGAGACAAAGUGCAUCUGAGAUCUAGCAAAUUUCCCUGUUGGCCACAUACUGAUAAUGAUGUAUUAAAAUCAAUUCUAUACUGUGGGGUACUUAUUUGACAUUAAUAGGUACCAUGGUGGUUUAACAUAGUUGCUGCCCAGAGAAAACGCCGCACACUCACCUACACUAAAAUGAAGUCUGAGUCAGCUGCCUCCCCUCCGCCAUCCCUUCCAAAGCCAAUGGUUGAAAGUCACAGAAGUCCCUCUGCUGCCACCUAGUGACGACAAUGUGAAUACAACUACACAGCCUCCUGGGAAAGAAGUUUUGAACCACGUUUGCUUCUAAAGGAAGCCUGUAAUUACCUCUGAGUGCUCUAUUUUGGCUACAAUUUAAAAACAUAUAUAUUUUAAAACUCUAUAAACUCUUAUGCAUAUCCCUUUUUAAGAAUCUGACCUGUAAUGGAUGUAGCCUCACUUUCAAGAACCUAAAAGCUAUGCCCCCAAUUCAGGGAGUAGAACAGACAGGCUUAAGAACAGUGCCUAAAAAUGCCACUAAAUUUAUCUUUAAAAUGCCUGUGGUUCCUUAGCACUUGAAUUCCGUUAUGCCCCUGGGUAUAGUCACCUGGAUGUUAGGGGCUGUCAAAAUUCAGCCCUCAGUUGGUGAUCAGUAGGUUUUCCCUUUAAGUGGUUUCUGAAAGGAUUUUUUUUAAAAAUCUUGAAAUUCUCAUGUCUGGAUGAUGUUUCCAGUUUUGUGGAAGAAUAAAAGAAAAGGGACAUGAAAUUCUGGCUCCCUGGGGGCAGUGGCUGUGUCUUAUUAAUCUCUGUGCCCAUUGUACCAACACCGGUCAGUCACAGCAUGUACUCAACCAAUGCUGAUGAAUGCAGAGGGGCGAGGGGCUGGCACGCUCUUGACCCCUUAUAGGGGCUGCGUCGAUGGCCAGGGUUCAAUGGGAACUUUCUGGUACAGUCUUGCUCUGCCAAUCUUUCAAAUUAAGUGCAGCACAAUUGGAAGCCUCACAUUCUCAUAGACGGGUUGAGGAGGGCAUUAGGGGCAGAAAGGCUCACAUAAGGCCUGAGCGUGAGGUUUCCUGCCCAGCACUGCUGUGCCAUUGCAGCCCACCUUCUUCUCACCUUUCCUUCCACACCACGGCGCGGCAGGUGCAGAAACCGUGCUGGGAUUGAGGCCCUAGAGGCUGACUACAGGUCUUGGGGGCAAAACAUCUGGACACACAGCUGAAGAUGAGCCAAGUAUAUUAGUCAGGGUUCUCUAGAGAAACAGAACCAACAAGAUAGAGAGAUGCAGAGAGACAGAGGGACAGACAGACAGAUUUAAGUAACUGACCCAUAAAAUCUUGGAGGCUUGGCAAGUCCAAAAUCUGCAAGAUGGAAGUGGGCUGGCACAUUGGAGACUCAAGGAAGAGUUGCACGUUGAGUUCAAAGGCCGGCUGCUGGCAGAAUUCCUUUCUGCUCAGGUGAAGUCGGUCUCUGUUCUAUUAAGACCUUCAACUGAUUGGAUGAGGUCCACCCAUAUUAUGAAGGGUCAUUUGCUUUACUCAACAUCUACUCAUCUAAAUAUUAAUCUCAUUG